AGAAUCCACAAGAUCAUGCUAUUAGGACAAUGUUCCAAUUUCAGCUUCCAAUUUCAUUUUUAGAGGUUCAAACAUUAGAGUCUCGAAAUGACUACCGACAGACAACUUCUCGACUUAGUUGAUACUAAUUUACUUUCUAAGAUACACUUAUUUAACUAUAUGAAUAAAUUUGAGGGUCAAAUAAAUACACUUGAUAACAGUUUGAUAGUGAUUUUCUAAGAAUGCAAAGGUGAUUAGUUUGCCUAUGUUGAACAUUCAUAGUUCAUGCAUUACAAUAUUGGUACAAUUUCUUAUCCUAACUUUUUAUCUCUCUCUUUUACUUUCUUAUGGUUGUAUAGAGGUGAUAAAUGAUUUUAAGAUCCAUGGGUAUUUAUGCUUGUCAUGUCUCAUAAUCCAAGACUAUGUUGCUCGGACUCUUUAAAAAUGUCAAGAGGUCAAGAGGUGCGUGUCGGAUUCGCCAAAAGUAGUGCAUUUUUGAAGAAUUCGACAUGGGUGCGGCAUCGAAAGUGAAAAGUCCGCAACUUAGAUCAGGGAUGAAUGAUGGAAAUUUUAAACUAAAAAUUGCUUAUUGACUUUCAUAUAUAACUAAAAAUUGCUUAUUGACUUUCAUAUGUUAUGUAUGCAAGUUUUGAUAAAGUCACUGCUUGUUUUGUACCAGCAAGAAAAACAAAUAUUAUAAGACUCUGAAUUAACGAUCUAGACUAAGUUUUUGCUUCUUUUUUUUCAUUCAACACAUUUCACUGCCACGUUUUAAUCAUAUUGUUAGUUGGUCUUAUUUGUUUUUUACAUGUGUAAAAAUUUGUAGUUUUCAUGAUUCAUUUUUCUUGAUAUUAGGCUCUAACAAGCAGAACAAAAUUGCUAAGAAAAUCUCGAGUACAUUUAGUUGUCAAGCGUCAUUGCUGAAGAACUUAUAGAAUGUCACCUAAUAUCUAAAAAAUUCUCAGAUAUAUUGCUUUUUUUUCCUGAAAUUUUUCAAUAGGGAAGCACCAUUCUUCAGGCGAUAUGGUAAUACCAUUAUCUACGAGCAACAAUAUCUAUAAAUGCAUAACAAUUUUUCAGAUGCUUCUCCUACAAAAUGAUCAGUUGAGUAUCUUUCGAAGAACUGCAAUCAGCCAUACUGCAAAUACAGUUGGUAUAAGCCUCUCGACGAUGCAUUCCAAAGUAACUUAUUUGAAUAAGAUGCAACGGUUGAAAUAAAGCUAGAGUUGUAUCCGGUCAGCAAUCUAUAUUGUUUGUUUACUUUUUCUUAUCAAUCAAUUGUUGUAAAAAAUUUGUUUCUUAUUUUAGUUAAACUUUCAACAAACAGGAAAGGGCUAUGGACAUUAUUCCUCCAUAACUGAGGCACUAUUAUAGUAUCUUUGUAAAUAUAAAUUUACACUCCUUACAACUUUGUAAUACAAAUAAUUAAUUUCAAUUCGUCGGGCCCGUGGUUAGCACGGGCAUAUUA